rnacentral:rRNA from 1 species
CCUACGGGGGGCAGCAGUGGGGAAUCUUGCACAAUGGGCGAAAGCCUGAUGGAGCAACGCCGCGUGGGUGAAGAAGGUCUUCGGAUCGUAAAACCCUGUUGGUAGAGAAGAAAGUGCGUGAGAGUAACUGUUCACGUUUCGACGGUAUCUAACCAGAAAGCCACGGCUAACUACGUGCCAGCAGCCGCGGUAAUACGUAGGUGGCAAGCGUUAUCCGGAUUUGUUGGGGGUAAAGGGAACGCAGGCGGUCUUUUAAGUCUGAUGUGAAAGCCUUCGGCUUAAACGGAGUAGUGCAUUGGAAAAUGGUAGACCUGAGUGCAGAAGAGGAGAGGGGAACUCCAUGUGU